rnacentral:rRNA from 1 species
GUGGGGAAUAUUGGACAAUGGGCGAAAGCCUGAUCCAGCAAUGCCGCGUGAGUGAUGAAGGCCUUAGGGUUGUAAAGCUCUUUUACCCGGGAUGAUAAUGACAGUACCGGGAGAAUAAGCUCCGGCUAACUCCGUGCCAGCAGCCGCGGUAAUACGGAGGGAGCUAGCGUUGUUCGGAAUUACUGGGCGUAAAGCGCACGUAGGAGGCUUUGUAAGUUAGAGGUGAAAGCCUGGAGCUUAACUCCAGAACUGCCUUUAAGACUGCAUCGCUUGAAUCCAGGAGAGGUGAGUGGAAUUCCGAGUGUAGAGGUGAAAUUCGUAGAUAUUCGGAAGAACACCAGUGGCGAAGGCGGCUCACUGGACUGGUAUUGACGCUGAGGUGCGAAAGCGUGGGGAGCAAACAGGAUUAGAAACCCGGGUAGUCC